rnacentral:rRNA from 1 species
AUUGAACGCUGGCGGCAGGCCUAACACAUGCAAGUCGCGCGAGCGGCGGACGGGUGAGUAAUGUCUGGGAAACUGCCUGAUGGAGGGGGAUAACUACUGGAAACGGUAGCUAAUACCGCAUACCAUCAGAUUUGCCCAGAUGGGGUUAGCUAGUAGGUGGGGUAACGGCGCACCUAGGCGACGAUCCCUAGCUGGUCUGAGAGGAUGACCAGAAACACUGGAACGGAGACAGGGUCCAGACGCAUACGGGAGGCAGAAGUGGGGAAGAUGGCACAAUGGGCGCAAGCCUGAGGCAGCCAUGCCGCGUGUGUGAAGAAGGCCUUCGGGUUGUAAAGCACUUUCAGCGGGGAGGCGUUACCCGCAGAAGAAGCACCGGCGAACUCCGUGCCAGCAGCCGCGGUAAUUC